UAAGUGGGGGAUAACAUUUGGAAACAGAUGCUAAUACCGCAUAGAUCCAAGAACCGCAUGGUUCUUGGCUGAAAGAUGGCGUAAGCUAUCGCUUUUGGAUGGACCCGCGGCGUAUUAGCUAGUUGGUGAGGUAAUGGCUCACCAAGGCGAUGAUACGUAGCCGAACUGAGAGGUUGAUCGGCCACAUUGGGACUGAGACACGGCCCAAACUCCUACGGGAGGCAGCAGUAGGGAAUCUUCCACAAUGGACGCAAGUCUGAUGGAGCAACGCCGCGUGAGUGAAGAAGGCUUUCGGGUCGUAAAACUCUGUUGUUGGAGAAGAAUGGUCGGCAGAGUAACUGUUGUCGGCGUGACGGUAUCCAACCAGAAAGCCACGGCUAACUACGUGCCAGCAGCCGCGG
rnacentral:rRNA from 2 species